UGACAGUUGUGACUUCAUUGAAGAAGGCAGAACAGCUGGCAAGUCCUGGUCUGAUUCUGCUUUUUGUUUAUUCAUUUGUGACUGGGACUGCUGAGACUAAGUCACAGCUUCUGCCUGAGUCUCAUGGGACAUCCUCUCUCUGGGAUCCCUGAGCGGCCAACCCUAAAACUGCCAUGUCAGAAAGACCACAUGGAGGACAACAGUCCCAACUGAGUCCAGCCUUCGAGCCAUCCCUGAAACCCCUUCAAAGCCGCAGACACAGGAACGAAGCUGACUCAGAUAAUCUGGGCUUGCCCAGUUGUUCGUUGAAUACCAAAUACAAUGACAGGAUUUUUAUCUGUGGUAGCUUCAUCUCAGCAUCUAGAACAGGACCUGGCACAUCGAAGGAAGUCAAUAUUUGUUGAAUGAAUGAACAAUGGAAAAAAUUGUUGAACACAAAUGGACUAUAGCUUCUUCUGUUUUCUAAGAAGGAGGGGUGAUGGC